rnacentral:rRNA from 1 species
AUCAUGACGGUACCUGCAGAAGCAACUGCGGCUAACUACGUGCCAGCAGCCGCGGUAAUACGUAGGCAGCGAGCGUUGUUCGGAGUUACUGGGCGUAAAGGGUGUGUAGGCGGUUGCUUAAGUUUGGUGUGAAAUCUCCCGGCUCAACUGGGAGGGUGCGCCGAAUACUGAGUGACUCGAGUGCGGGAGAGGAGAGUGGAAUUCCUGGUGUAGCGGUGAAAUGCGUAGAUAUCAGGAGGAACACCGGCGGUGUAGACGGCUCUCUGGACCGUAACUGACGCUGAGACACGAAAGCGUGGGUAGCAAACAGGAUUAGAUACCCUGGUAGUCCACGCCCUAAACGAUGCAUAUUUGGUGUGGGUCAUCCAGUUGAUCCGUGCCGGAGCUAACGCGUUAAAUGUGCCGCCUGGGGAGUACAGUCGCAAGGCUGAAACUCAAAGGAAUUGACGG